UACGUAGGGUGCGAGCGUUAAUCGGAAUUACUGGGCGUAAAGCGUACGCAGGCGGUUUUCCAAGACAGAUGUGAAAUCCCCGGGCUCAACCUGGGAAUGGCAUUUGUGACUGGAAGGCUAGAGUGUGUCAGAGGGGGUAGAAUUCCACGUGUAGCAGUGAAAUGCGUAGAGAUGUGGAGGAAUACCGAUGGCGAAGGCAGCCCCCUGGGAUAACACUGACGCUCAUGCACGAAAGCGUGGGGAGCAAACAGG
rnacentral:rRNA from 1 species